AUUAUCAUUUGGACAGUGGCAGACUGGUGAGUAACGCGUGGAUAAUCUGCCCCAAAGAUGAGGAUAGCUCGCCGAAAGGUGAGGUAAUCCUCAAUGGUGUGGGAAGUACAUAUGUACAUCCCACUAAAGCUUUAGCGCUUCGGGAUGAGUCUGCGUCCUAUCAGCUUGUUGGUAGAGUAAAGGUCUACCAAGGCUAAGACGGGUAACUGGUCUGAGAGGAUGGUCAGUCACAGUGGCACUGAAACACGGGCCACACUCCUACGGGAGGCAGCAAUUAGGAAUCUUGCACAAUGGAGGAAACUCUGAUGCAGCGACACCGCGUGAAGGAUGAAGACCCUCGGGUUGUAAACUUCUUUUAUAAUCUAACAAGUUCUGAGUGGAGUAUGAAUAAGCACCUGCUAACUGCGUGCCAGAAGCAUCGGUGAAGCGUGGGGUGCGAGCGUUAUCCGGAUUUAUUGGGCGUAAAGAGAUGCGUAGGCGUUUUGGUAAGUCUUCUGUCAAAGCCUUCGGCCUAACCGAAGAAAGGCAGAGGAUACUAUCAGAAUUGAGACAGAGAGGGGGAAGUGGAAUUCCCGGUGGAGCGGUGAAAUGCGUUGAUAUCGGGAGGAACACCAGUGGCGAAGGCAACUUCCUGGCUCUGUUCUGACGCUGAGGCUCGAAAGCGUGGAGAGCAAAGCGGAUUAGAUACUCGUGUAGUCCAUGCUGUAAACGUUGGAUACUGGACGUUUGGUUC
rnacentral:rRNA from 1 species